GAUGAACGCUGGCGGCGUGCCUAAUACAUGCAAGUCGAGCGAACGGACGAGAAGCUUGCUUCUCUGAUGUUAGCGGCGGACGGGUGAGUAACACGUGGAUAACCUACCUAUAAGACUGGGGUAACUUCGGGAAACCGGAGCUAAUACCGGAUAAUAUUGUGAACCGCAUGGUUCAAAAGUGAAAGACGGUCUUGCUGUCACUUAUAGAUGGAUCCGCGCUGCAUUAGCUAGUUGGUAAGGUAACGGCUUACCAAGGCAACGAUGCAUAGCCGACCUGAGAGGGUGAUCGGCCACACUGGAACUGAGACACGGUCCAGACUCCUACGGGAGGCAGCAGUAGGGAAUCUUCCGCAAUGGGCGAAAGCCUGACGGAGCAACGCCGCGUGAGUGAUGAAGGUCUUCGGAUCGUAAAACUCUGUUAUUAGGGAAGAACAUAUGUGUAAGUAACUGUGCACAUCUUGACGGUACCUAAUCAGAAAGCCACGGCUAACUACGUG
rnacentral:rRNA from 1 species